ACACCGACUGUUGGGAUAGAUCCUCGUCACUUGACCGACUACCCAGCUUUUUCGUAUCUGAGUCGAUUAAAGAAGCUUCAUCGACUAAGCUGCCUUCAAUCAACCCGGCUCGGAUCGAUGAGUCCCGAUCGGUAAGGUUGACACUGGGUACCGACAUGGAUUUCUAGCUGACUAAAGUCUGCUCCUCCUGAUCGGCAUCAGUCUGACUAAGAUUAAUAUGCCAUCCACGACUUCUAGCUCCCAGCGCCACUCGGCCUGUGAUCGAGUUCAUACUCGGUUAGUGGCCGAGUAUGCCAAUCGAGGAUAAGACAAUCCGAUGGUCCUAUUCUGCCGACUC
rnacentral:lncRNA from 1 species